rnacentral:rRNA from 1 species
GACGAACGCUGGCGGCGUGCUUAACACAUGCAAGUCGAACGGAAAGGCCCUGCUUUUGUGGGGUGCUCGAGUGGCGAACGGGUGAGUAACACGUGAGUAACCUGCCCUUGACUUUGGGAUAACUUCAGGAAACUGGGGCUAAUACCGGAUAGGAGCUCCUGCUGCAUAGUGGGGGUUGGAAAGUUUCGGCGGUUGGGGAUGGACUCGCGGCUUAUCAGCUUGUUGGUGGGGUAGUGGCUUACCAAGGCUUUGACGGGUAGCCGGCCUGAGAGGGUGACCGGCCACAUUGGGACUGAGAUACGGCCCAGACUCCUACGGGAGGCAGCAGUGGGGAAUAUUGCACAAUGGGCGGAAGCCUGAUGCAGCAACGCCGCGUGCGGGAUGACGGCCUUCGGGUUGUAAACCGCUUUCGCCUGUGACGAAACGUGAGUGACGGUAAUGGGUAAAGAAGCACCGGCUAACUACGUG